CAGUCACACUUAUACAAGGGUCAAAUUGUGCUUGCCACAAGCGUAAAUCCCAAGAUAGUUGGGGGACGGUUAUUUCUCAACGCUACUUCAGCCACGCAUCUGUACUUUGAUUCUGAGACAUCAGCAGGAAAAGAAGUUUUUGAAAAGCAAAUCAUAUAUUUCUUACUGGCUAAAUCGAGAUUGUUGUACAUUGAGUAUAUAUUUAUGUUUCAUGCUAUAUUUAUAGCAGAUUGCCUAGACAUGGAGCAGAUCAGCCCACGCCUUCAUCCAAGGUUGUUCAUGCCCAGAAGAUUGAACCCCUGACCGUUUCUGAGCUUAAUCAGUUUAUCAUCACUGCUGAAACUCAUAUUAUAGAGUUCUUUGCACUGCUAAGGUGACCGGUAUCCAACAGGAUGACGGUUGGUGUUGGAGUGUUCGAAGAAACUCCUCCGAGAGAUCUCUUCCUUCACAUGUGUUUCAUGUAAUGAAACAAAUCAUGUGCAUCACUCAGUGGAGAGAGCCAGCUAUCGGAAAAUGAAUGAUUGAUUCCCUUGGAUGGAGAGAGAACACAGCAAGAGCAGACAACUGCUGGAGAAGGUUCAAACGUUUGAUCCAUGUAGUUGGAGUGACGCAACUUCCGUCUUACAUGACAACUUAUGAGAACACAAGGGCUACCAUAACAUGCCACCGAGAGAGCGGUGUGACACAUGCUUCUAUUAUAAGCAAAUUACAAAAUUUGUUUUCAUUAUAUAGACGCAAGUACACGUCAAACAGUGAGAGACAAAACAAUUCCUAUAAUAUUUUGUUGCUGUUUGUUCUUUUUUUCAUUUUUCCAUCAUAGCUAAUAAGUGGUUCGUUGUCCCCUUCUGGAGAAGGGAUCAAAUCCAUCAGAUGCUUUCUGUAUUUUGAUUUAACAGAUGAGAUAAUAAAAACUAAAAUAAGCUUUAUUA